CCUUUGUACACACCGCCCGUCGCUACUACCGAUUGAAUGGCUUAGUGAGACCUUCGGAUUGAGUUUCGGAAACUGGCAACAGAUUCUGAUUUUUGAAAAGUUGGUCAAACUUGGUCAUUUAGAGG
rnacentral:rRNA from 1 species